GAUGAAGAACGCAGCGAAAUGCGAUAAGUAAUGUGAAUUGCAGAAUUCAGUGAAUCAUCGAAUCUUUGAACGCACAUUGCGCCCGCCAGUAUUCUGGCGGGCAUGCCUGUUCGAGCGUCAUUACAACCCUCAGGCCCCCGGGCCUGGCGUUGGGGAUCGGCGGAGCCCCCCGUGGGCACACGCCGUCCCCCAAAUACAGUGGCGGUCCCGCCGCAGCUUCCAUCGCGUAGUAGCUAACACCUCGCGACUGGAGAGCGGCGCGGCCACGCCGUAAAACACCCAACUCUUCUGAAGUUGACCUCGAAUCAGGUAGGAAUACCCGCUGAACUUAAGCAUAUCAAUAAGCGGUGGA
rnacentral:misc_RNA from 1 species